UACCGUAAACGAUGACGACCAGCGAUUAGUCGGUGUUAAUAUACGACCCGACUAGCAGCUUCCGGGAAACCAAAGUUUUUCGUUUCCGGGGGAAGUAUGGUUGCAAAGCUGAAACUUAAAGGAAUUGACGGAAGGGCACCACCAGGAGUGGAGCCUGCGGCUUAAUUUGACUCAACACGGGAAAACUCACCCGGCCCGGACACCGUGAGGAUUGACAGACUGAGAGCUCUUUCUUAAUUCGGUGGGUGGUGGUGCAUGGCCGUUCUUAGUUGGUGGAGCGAUUUGUCUGGUUAAUUCCGAUAACGAACGAGACUCUGGCCUAUUAAAUAGUCGGUAUAUCCAGAAAAGUUUACCGUACUUCUUAGAGGGACAAACGGCGUCUAGCCGCGUGAAAUAGAGCAAUAACAGGUCUGUGAUGCCCUUAGAUGUCCGGGGCUGCACGCGCGCUACACUGAAAGAAUCAGUAUGCGCUUUAACCUAGUCCGGAAGGAUUGGGUAACCCGAGCAAAUUCUUUCGUGCUUGGGAUAGGGAAUUGCAAUUAUUUCCCUUAAACGAGGAAUUCCCAGUAAAUGCGGGUCAUAAGCUCGCGUUGAUUACGUCCCUGCCCUUUGUACACACCGCCCGUCGCUACUACCGAUUGGAUGACUUAGUGAGGUCUUAGGACCGACGUAAAGGAGCUUUCGCGAGUUCUUUUUCGUUGGAAAUUUGAUCGAACUACGUUAUCUAGAGGGAGUAAAAGUCGUAACAAGGUUUUCCGUAGGUGAACCUGCGGAAGGA
rnacentral:rRNA from 1 species